rnacentral:rRNA from 1 species
UACGAAGGGGGCUAGCGUUGCUCGGAAUCACUGGGCGUAAAGGGUGCGUAGGCGGGUCUUUAAGUCACUGGUGAAAUCCUGGAGCUCAACUCCAGAACUGCCUUUGAUACUGAGGAUCUUGAGUACGGGAGAGGUGAGUGGAACUGCGAGUGUAGAGGUGAAAUUCGUAGAUAUUCGCAAGAACACCAGUGGCGAAGGCGGCUCACUGGCCCGUUACUGACGCUGAGGCACGAAAGCGUGGGGAGCAAACAGG